UACGUAGGGUGCAAGCGUUGUCCGGAAUUAUUGGGCGUAAAGAGCUCGUAGGCGGUUCGCCAAGUUUGGAGUGACAGUUGUCGGCUCAACCGACAAAGGACUUCAAAAACUGGUGAACUUGAGGACGAGAGAGGAACAUGGAACUCCAGGUGUAGUAGUGAAAUGCGUAGAUAUCUGGAAGAACACCAAUGGCGAAGGCAAUGUUCUGGCUCGUUUCUGACGCUCAGGUGCGAAAGCCAGGGGAGCGAACGGG
rnacentral:rRNA from 1 species